rnacentral:tRNA from 1 species
GUAGGUACAGCUCAGUGAUAGUGUGUAUGCUUAGCAUGCAUGAGGUCCUGGGUUCAAUCCCCUGUACCUCCU